AUUUAAAUGCCCCCCCGUGUGGAAUUUUUGGCCACAAACUGAGCAUGAAAAAGGUUUCUCACCCGUGUGGAUUCUUGCGUGCAUAUUUAAACUUCCCCUCUGAGAGAACUUUUGGCCACAAACUGAGCAUGAAAAAGGUUUCUCGCCAGUGUGGAUUCUUGUGUGCUUUUUUAAACUUCCCCUCUC